GACCCAAUUUGUCCGAGCAUUCCUACGUAUUCUACUGGAAAUUGCUGUCAAGUUCACCGCCAGCGAGCCAGUGUCACUAUUCUUCGAUCAUGCCAACGAUGACUGACUGACUGCAGAUGACUGCAGAGGGCAAUCAAAACAACUAGUGAUACCGACGAACUUCAAAAGGAUCUGACUAAAAUUGAAAAGUGGUGUCAAGUUUGGGGUAUGACAUUAAAUGCUAAAAAAUGUAAA